GAUGAACGCUGGCGGCGUGCCUAAUACAUGCAAGUCGAGCGAAUGGAUUUAGAGCUUGCUCUUAUGAAGUUAGCGGCGGACGGGUGAGUAACACGUGGGUAACCUGCCCAUAAGACUGGGAUAACUCCGGGAAACCGGGGCUAAUACCGGAUAAUAUUUUGAACUGCAUGGUUCAAAAUUGAAAGGCGGCUUCGGCUGUCACUUAUGGAUGGACCCGCGUCGCAUUAGCUAGUUGGUGAGGUAACGGCUCACCAAGGCAACGAUGCGUAGCCGACCUGGAAGGGUGGACGGCCUCAAGGGGACUGAGACCCGGCCCAGACUCCUACGGGAGGCAGCAGUAGGGAAUCUUCCGCAAGGGACGAAAGUCAGACGGAGCAACGCCGCGUGGGUGAUGAAGGCUUUCGGGUCGUAAAACUCUGUUGUUAGGGAAGAACAAGUGCUAGUUGAAUAAGCUGGCACCUUGACGGUACCUAACCAGAAAGCCACGGCUAACUACGUGCCAGCAGCCGCCGUAA
rnacentral:rRNA from 1 species